rnacentral:tRNA from 1 species
UGGGGCGUGGCCAAGUGGUAAGGCAGCAGGUUUUGGCUCUGUUAUUCGGAGGUUCGAAUCCUUCCGUCCCAG